rnacentral:rRNA from 1 species
UAAUACGUAGGCAGCGAGCGUUGUUCGGAGUUACUGGGCGUAAAGAGUGCGUAGGCGGCGGCCUAAGUCUGGUGUGAAAUCUCCCGGCUCAACUGGGAGGGUGCGCCGGAAACUGGGUUGCUUGAGUGUGGGAGAGGCAAGCGGAAUUCCUGGUGUAGCGGUGAAAUGCGUAGAUAUCAGGAGGAACACCUGCGGUGUAGACGGCUUGCUGGACCAUGACUGACGCUGGGGCACGAAAGCGUGGGGAGCAAACAG